rnacentral:rRNA from 1 species
GGAUCAAGAAGAAAAGAGCACAGGGUGAAUGCCUUGGCAAUCAGAGCCGACGAAGGACGCGACAAGCUGCGAAAAGCUACGUGUAGGUGCACAUAACCGUUAAAGCGUAGAUAUCCGAAUGGGGAAACCCGGCUGGUAGAAGACCAGUCACUGUAACGUGAAUACAUAGCGUUAUGGAGGGAACCUGGGGAACUGAAACAUCUUAGUACCCAGAGGAAAAGAAAGAA